CUCUUUUAGAAAGCUCUGUGCUGGCCUGUAGCUAUCUUUAACCCUGAUUAUCAGCUCACGGUGGUGGAGGAGGAGAGAGACUUGAGGGACGGGGGUUGGUUUUUCUCACACUGGCGGCUCACGGCUAACAGCUAGUGGCUAACGGCUAGCAAAUCCUGUCGUGUCGUUCUUAGUGUUCUGGCGACCUAGAUUGUCAUCAAAGGGGGUGAGGUCUUCGGUAAAACGGAAGUGAAUGAAGGAAACGGCAGACCUCAAGUCGAGUCAAACUAAAUUGUGCAGCACUUACAGUUAAACAGCUACACUCUAAAAGGGCCUCGCAGGCAAAACAUGAUACGACAUUUACCCGAACCCAUAGCCUUCGAUAGAGACAGGACCCAGAAUCUAAAGGUGAAGAAACCUGGAGAAGGAAUACAGAAGAGGUAUCCCUCCUUCCACAAUGUUCCUCCCUGGUUCUAAAGAACGUUUUUACCAGAGGAUAUUGAUCAUCUUCUACAAUCAGGCAACGGAGUCGACAGAACGGAUUGACCCACAAUGCACUUCGAGAGCGGCCCAUGAAAAAGCCAAUGAGAUCCGUCGAUGGACGUGUACAGUGUGAACGCGGUGUUGGUCCGUCUUUUCAGUGAAAUAAACUUUCAAACUAUA